UACGGAGGGUGCAAGCGUUACUCGGAAUCACUGGGCGUAAAGAGCGCGUAGGCGGGAUAGCAAGUCAGAUGUGAAAUCCCGCGGCUCAACCGCGGAACUGCAUUUGAAACUGUCAGUCUUGAGUACCGGAGAGGUCAUCGGAAUUCCUUGUGUAGCGGUGAAAUGCGUAGAUAUAAGGAAGAACACCAGUGGCGAAGGCGGAUGACUGGACGGCAACUGACGGUGAGGCGCGAAAGCGUGGGGAGCAAACAGG
rnacentral:rRNA from 1 species